AGGGAGAGGGAGGGUUCCUCUGGUUCUCCGUGCCGUAGCACGUGUGGGCGUAGGCCAGCUGGCUCCUGGAUGAAGCCCACAAACAUGAUGCCCUGAUCCGCAGCGUCCUGGAUCUGCUGAGAAGAGAGAUAUGAACAGAACAUGCAUUCCUCCAGUUUGAGAUGGUAAGGCUCAAAGUCUGCCGGAUUCUUCUCCCAGCUGAAGAGAGAGAGGGGAACACCGGUUUAAUGUCAAACAUACCACUCUUAAACAGAGGAGCCAUGCAGAGAUCCCAGUGAGGUGCUGAUCUCAGGGACACCCAUUCCAGCGUCUUCUCUUCCCAUCUUCUGUGUGCAUGUGACAUUUGGGACAGAGAUUAAACCCACUAACCCAGAGCUCUAUCCAACCACAAAGUCGCAGCGCAGCAGGGCCCUGACUCACCUCUGUCACACACACACAUGAAUUCACACUUCCCGCCAACACACGGCCAUCUGCUGCCUGAACACAUUCCCCUCAUGGUGUUCCUGCAGCACGUACGACUGGAUCCUGCAGUCUGGCUUUAACAUGAAGAUAAACAAAUCUGAGCAGCGUAUGAGCGGCAGAAUGAGAGGCCCGUCUAUUUAACAAGUUAAUUUAGUGUGAUUAACAAUAAUAAAAAAGGAAAAACAUGCUUUCUUGCAAUUAAUCAUGGCCCCUGACAUGUUGGUGAAUUUUGUAAUGUAAAUAUGGAGAUUUCCUACCAUCUGAGCAAUUGUGAGUUUGUUGUCCUGUAACCACUUGUGAUAACACACAAAAAAGCAAAAAGCUGGCUUUCAAAUAUACUUCAAAUUGCAAUCUCACUACAAACAUGACAUCUUGAGCUGAAUGCAUUUUUUUUCAAGAUUUCUCAAGCUCCCUAAGUUUGCGUUCAUUACAAUUUUUUUUAAUUAAAAAAUAAUAACUUUUUUUUUUUUUAUUAAUUUUUUCUUAUUUGAAUUAAUACUGUUAUUCAGCAAGCAUGCAUUAAAUUGAUCAAAAUUGAAACGGAAGGCAUUUAUAUACAAAAGAUAUCUAUUUCAAAUAAAUGCUGUUCUUUUUAACUUUCUAUUUUUUUAAAUCACAUUUUCCACAAAAAAAUCAACUAAUAAUCAAAAAUGUUUCUUGAGCAGCAAAUCAGCAUAUGAGAAUGAUUUCUGAAGGAUAAUGUGACAUUGAAGAUUGAAGUAAUGAUGCUGAAAAUCCAUUUUACAAUAUAUUCAAAUGAAGCAUGAAGGUUAUUUUAAAAUGUAAUAACAUUUAAUAAUAUUACUUUUUUUUCCCACUGUAUUUAUGAUCAAGUAAAUGGAGCCUACAAAUAAAAAUAGACCAUUUUAAAAACACUUUUUGUAACCCAGUACAUGAUUGACAGGUUUGUAUGUGGAUCUUUCAACAAAUUCAAAUUUUGGAAUGUUUUGGAACCUUUUUUUCUAAUCAGUUUUUGAUUUUGCUGACCACUUGUUAUGAGAUAACCUGAGAUCGCCCAUACUGAGAUCACUACUGAAUCACGAGGAAGAAAAUGUGAGAAGCAGGAGACCUCAGCUUUCUAUUUCCCCACUUCUACAUUUGCUCUCCAUUUGAUCUCAAUUGAUUUAUUUUAAGAAAUGAAAUUUUUGUUUAGUCACCCUAUGCAUCCUGUGGUCACUAUGAACUUUUUCAUUCAAAAGAACCACGUGCUGAUUCUUCUUUUGUGUUCCACUGAAAAAUGCACCAGCAUGAAGAGGAGUAAAUACAGAUUUCUAACUUUUGCAUGAACUUUUCCUGUAAAGAGAUUACAUUUGUGAUAUUUCUUUCCUACAGGCUUAAUGCACCUACAGAAGAGCAAUCCACAGUUCUUGGCAGCGCCGAGGCUGUUUGUGGAAACGCUUUAGCGGGUUAAACAGCAGUAACUUGACAGAAAAGAUCCAGCCGCUUGCUCGCAGGAGUGCUGCUUCUGGGAAUAAAAAGCUUUAAGCAACACUGAUCUAGACUUCCUUCAGAAAUGGUUCGCUCAAAGGUUUCUCUCAGACACGGAUCUUAAGACACAGCUGGGUUGCACUGUUGGCAAACGCCUGUUUGCCUGCGGAUCAUCUUAGUUGGUGUGUGCGAAUGUGUGUGUGUAUGUGUUUUCAACUCUCUCUGUCUUUGCCCACAGGAAUGCCGAUAUCACUGGUGCUGUCAGAUUCAGUGUUUCCGGGUCUGGAGGCGAUAUCCAGCUGUGUGCAUGUGCAAUUCGGUGGCAUUGCCAUGACAACAACCUUCGAUGGGAUCCAUCAAACCUAGGUAUCCCCAUCUUUAAUCACUGCAUUAAUAAUGUAUCACAUCUUUCUUGAUGUCAGCUUAUUUACCGAGCCAUGAAUAAUGUUAUUCAAGCAUAUCGGCCUUAAUGGUUUCUGGUCCGUACCGGUACCCCUGUGAGGUGCUCGGCAAUUAUCAAAAAAUGAUGCAUAAAUCACCCACCCUCGUCGCUGAAGUGGAACUGUAACUAAAAUUGAACAUGGGGGGCUUGACAGUUGACAUUUGGAAUUAUAAACAUAGUCAGCUACCGCACACAUUCACCGCUAGGUUAUAAGUAAUGCCCGGCAAAUCGCUUUAAAACUGGCCUGCCGACGCUAAUCCCGAGAUUCUCCUUCACAGUUGUGAUGUUUGCGUCUACACGGGCCAGGAGUCAGGAGCAGCUCCUGCUUUAGCGGUGUAGCGUCUGGUUUGGGUGAGUUUCGGAGGGGAAACUGUAGUAAUGUCACCUACUAUAUGAGCUCCACACACAGCGGCUAAUCCUGAUGUGGGAGAGCUGGGCCUGCAUCCAGAGACUCUGGGUGAAUAUUAAACACUGGAACGUCUGAACUCCAUCCCAUCUCCUCUGUAGCUUCUCUACUAUACUAGAUAGAACAACAACAGGUGAAGGUGUUGAGUCGGCUCCCUGUUUAAAUUACUUAGAGGUGGGCGAUAUUAUCAAAAUAUUUACCACAAUACAUAAGUCAAUCAAAAGUGAUUUUUAACUAAAAAUCUUCACUACAAUGCAAGUCAUUUUAAACCAAAAUCUUUACCACAAUACAAGUAAUUUUUAACCAAAAUCUUCCCUACGAUACAAGUAGCCUAUUAUUGAAACAAGUUCUUUACCACAAGUAAUUUUUAAGCAACAUCUUUAGCAAGAUACAAGUAAUAUCUUUACAACAAUGCAAGUAUUUAACCAAAAUCUUUACCUCGAUACAAGUCAUUUUUAAACAUCUUUCUCACAAUAAAAGUAAUUUUAACUGAUAUCUUUUCCGCAAUACAAGUAAUUUUGAACCAAAAUCUUUGCCCUAAGUUAUUAAGCAAAUUCUUUACCACAAUAAAAGUUUUUUUUUUUUUUAACCAAAACCUUGUUUUGUGAGAUACAAGUCAUUUUUAGCCAAUAUCUUUACAUGAUACAAGUAAUUUUAACCAAAAUCUUUACCCCAAUAUAAUUAAAUUUUAACCAAAAUCUUUACCCCGAUACAAGUCAUUUUUUCACCACGGUAAAGAACGCCAUUACAUUAUUCUGUCUGAAAUCAGAGAUGCUACUAACUGAAAGUGAAGCCAUACCCUGUAUUUCUCAACAUCAAAUUUCUCACUUAAGACGACCAAAUUGUAUUGAUUCUUUUUUAACAAUUGUCUCUUGCUUCCAACAAAACCAACUAUUGUCCAAAUCCCUUAUUUACUUAAGUCACUGCAGCACUGAUAGAUGUGCUAGACAACAUUAUAAUUACAAUAUAUUUAUAGCCCUAAAACUGUUCAGUGUCAACACAUAGAGACCAUAACAGUAGGACUUUCUGUAAAGCUGCUUUGAAACUGUUUAUUGUGAAAAGUGCUUCACAAAGAUAUUUGACUUGACAAGAAUUUCAGAUAAAAUCUCAGCAUUGAAGAUCUGAACCCCUCUUCACAUGCAUUUUAUAUCUCUAUAUCCUUGUAAAGAUGAAACAUCGCUGAGAUGAAAUGAUAACAUUUACCUCUAGAAGAUCUUUUCUACCAGUUUUAAUUAGCUUGAUCAAAAUGAACUACCAGCCAAUCAACCAUCCAAAGCAAGUAAUGACCAGCUCAGACCAUCAGUAGUUGCUUUUAGCUGGAUUUCCUGACAGAUCCUUCCUUCAUCUCUCAUUUUGUUCCGUUUCCUCCUCCUCCUCCUCGUCCCCUCACCAGCUCUCUUGUCUUCUCCUCUGGACGUUUUUGGGUCUGUUUGUUUUGGGAGAGCGAGGAAUGGCUACAUGAAGGUUUUCUUUCAUCUGCACUUUUCCUCCCUCUCCGCUGUGAUUGCUGGGAUUGGCAGGGGAGGAGUAGAGCUGUGCCCUGUUUGAUAUCUCGCCUUUCUCUUGCUUUUUUUUCUGCAGGUUUAUCCCUCAGGGCCGCUGCUGAUGCGAGCAACUGUCUCCACGGUGACAGACGCCAAAGAUAAAGCAAGGCAGCUUUGCUGAAGCCAUCAAAGGUUGGCAGCCGUCUCGAUACUACGAUUCCUCCCAACACGCGCACAUCCACGCACACGUGACAGAAUCCAAGUCUGAUCUUCUUUCUUCUCAUUUUGCUCUUGGUCUCUUGAAGUCUUCGCUAUGAACAACACAUGCACAUCAUCCCAACAUCACGCCUACUCUAUGGAUGAAACAUGACUUCUUAAAAAAUUCUGUCAUUAUUUACUCAAUCUCAUGUUGUUCUUUCUUCCACCGAACCCAAAAUGGAAUCUUUCACAGUGCCAUUUUCCAUAUGACAAAAUCAUACAGUUACUAGGAGCUCCCAAAUGACAAAAACACCAAAAAGUAACCAUAAAAGUAGUCUAUACAACUACAAAUCAUACGAUAGCUUUGUGUACGGAGCAGACGCAAAUUUAAGUCACUACUCAAUAAAAAAUGCUCCUCUCCCCUCAUUUAGAUCCAGGUUUGAAGUUCAAAAGUUCAAAAACAUUGACAAUAAACAUGCAUUUAUGUAGAUUUAUGUACAUGAAAAUAUUCAAAAGUAACAGUAAAGACAUUCAAACUGCAACAAAAAUAAGUGCUGUUCUUUUGAAUGUUCUAUUCUAGAAUCUUAAAGGUGUAUCACGGUUUCCACAGAAAUAUGAAGCAGCACAACUAUUUUCAACAUUGAUAAUAAUCAGAAAUGUCUCUUGAGCAGCAAAUCAGCAUAUUAGAAUGAUUUCUGAAGGAUCAUGUGACACUAAAGACUGGAGUAUGCUAAAAAUUCAGCUUUGCAUCAAAGGACUAAAAUGACAUUUUAAAAUAAAUUCAAGUAGUAAACAGUUAUUUUAAAUUGUAAUAAUUUUAGUUCACAGUAUUUCUGAUUAAAUAAAUGCAGCCUUGAUGAGCAGAAAAGACUGCUCAUCUACAUAAAUGUUUUUUUUUUUUAAUGUUAAUGUUUAUUUAUGAUCAUUUUUUUAGCUGCAUUCCUUAAAAUGUCUCCUUUUGUGUUCCAUUUAAAUAAACUAACAGCAUACCGUAUGAGUUUGAAACUAAAUUGUCAUUUCUGGGUCAGCUGUUCCUUUAGGAUGAGUGAUGGAGUGUGAAUAUGCCUUUAAUAAUGAGUUUUUGCGUGAGCAUUCUUGCUUUUCAGUGCAUGACACAUUAACAUGAGGGGAGGUCGUGCCAAGAGUUCAUCUUGACAUCCAUUGAACUGUGUAAUGUUACAGUACAGUUUACCGCUCAAGUUCAUACCGGCCCUCACAAAGUGCUGUUUCAAGUGGAAAAUUACACUCAUGCGUAGAAGAAGAGUAGCCAGAAGAUCAACAGUAAUAUAGAGAGGAAUUUUUCCUUCUUAAUGUUUUAUAUUAAACCUUCAUUUGCCAGGAAUGUGUUUCAGGAUUCCUGAGGCGUCCAUGAAAACGGAAUAAUUCCAGGGCUUUUGAGUUUGCCAUCACUGUCCAGCCCCGGAGCUGUGGCCGCUCUGAGACUCAGAUAAGAUCAGAGUCCACACUGCAUCUCAGAAGCCACUUUUUCCUUGCACGAGGUGCAUGCCAGUCCCCAAUCAGGAACUAAAGGUUCAUUUAUGUGCAAAAACGGGCUCUGCAUUGGCCCCUGAAAUCUACUGGUCUCAACCCUAACAUUAGAGGCCAGGAUUUGGGAUAAUUUCCACAAAACAACGUCAGGAAAAUUAAAUUGCUUUGUUUUUCUCAGUAUAUUUACAAAUAUAAUAGUAUUUUUAUAUGUUAUACUUGUUAAGUAUUUUGUAAAUUAACACUGAAUCUAAUAGUUUUGAAUGUUAAAGGUGGUGUGUAUAAUUGUUUUCCGUCUUAUAGUUGGCAUAAAAUGAAAAUGCAAAUGAAAAUUCCAAGUGCGUGUUAUGAAAUACAUUUUUGAAGGAAGUCUCUUCUGCUCACCAAGGCUGCAUUUAUUUGAUCAAAAGUACAGUAAAAACAGCACAACUGUGAAACAUUAUUACAAUCUAAAAUAAACAUAUUCUAUUUGAAUAUAUUUUAAAAUGUAAUUUAUUCCUGUGACGCAAAGCUGAAUUUUCAGCAUCAUUACUCCAGUCUUCAUGAUCCUUCAGAAAUAAUUUUAAUAUGCUGCUCAAGAAACAUUUCUUAUUGUUAACAAUAUCAU